rnacentral:rRNA from 1 species
ACAUGCCUACAACAUAGCGUUAAUGCAUCGGAUCCCAUUAGAACUUUGCAGUUAAGCACGCUCAAGCUAGAGUAGUACUGGGAUAGCUGACCUCCCGGGAAGUCCUAGUGUUUUACAUGGC